UCAUGUGUGCUGCAUCUCAAUCUCAAUUAUCCCUUGUGACUAUAUAUUUGGACAGAACACUAAUAAUUUAUGUAGAGGCAAUUAAAAUCACCAAAUACCUAUAUACUUUAAUCAUCCCCUUCUUCUCUAUUCCUUUGGACAGCUCCAAAAUAUUUAACCAAAAUGUCAGCUACAAUAGGCACCAAGUCCUUGCAAGGGACAGCUUUCUUAUACACCUCAGCUAAAUGAGAAUCACUUCCAAUUCUCCCACCAAGGAAAAUAUCAACACCUUCAGUAGCCUUACCAUUUUCAUCCCUAGCCAUGCAUCCCAUAAAACCAAUAUCAGCAACCUGAACUUGACCACAUGUGUUAGGACAACCAGUCCAAUGCAUUCUCACUGGUUUGCUCACAGCCACAUGUCUCUCAACUUCUUCAGUUACUUUUAAAGCUCUUUGUUUUGUUUCAAUUAUUGCUUGGCCACAAAAUUGGUUACCAGUGCAUGCCACAAGUGUUUUCAUUAGGAUAGAAGGUUCUGGUGAGAAUUUGUCUUUCAAGAGAGGUUCAUUUAGCAAUGCCUCAAGUUUUGAGUUUUCUACAUUUGGAAUUAUUAUGUUUUGCUCUACGGUUAGCCGUAGUUCUCCGGUGCCGUAUUCGUCGGCGAUACGAGCUAGCUCAUCCAUCUCAUCUGCUUGGAUUCUACCAACUGGAACGUGAAUUCCAACAUAGCUUAAACCUUCUUGUUUUUGUGGAUGAACACCUAAGAUGUCUCUUCUUUCCCAUUGUUUUUGAACAAGUUCUUCUUUGGAUGCUCUCUCUAGCUUCUUCUCUGGCAUUCUUUUUUCCACCUCUGAUCUGAAUACUUCUAUCCCCUGCAUUUCACAAACACUUGUCAUGUCCAAGCCAAAGUGGAAUUGAAUGGUUCUCUUACUAGUGAAUUAACAAAUUUGUUCUUGUAAUGAUAGGGCCAAAAUCCACUUAAAUUUCAAUUGUAAAAUGGUCGUUAAAGUCACUUUAGUUAAUAAUAUGUGAAGGAAAAAAAGUGGUAACUUACAAGUUCAUCGAUCAACCACAUCAUUCUGGUUUUCUGUCUAUUGCCUCUGGUGCCGAGGUCUCUAUAGGUCUCAAGAACAGCUUUACAAAGUGGGAUAACAUCAUCUGCAGAGACCCAAGCAUCAAGUGGAACUGCUUCAGCACAUCGCUUGGGACUAAAGAAACCACCCACCAAUAAGUUGAAUCCGAAUCGACCAUCCUUAUUAGCAGGCAUGUAAGCAAGAUCAUUAAUAUGUGGAUGCUCGAAAAGAUCAUGGGAACCUAUCACACAUACAUUCCAUUUCCUUGGC
rnacentral:lncRNA from 1 species